GGAAAGGCCACAGCUCAAUGGUAGAACAUCUGAUUUACAUGCAAAAGGUCCCAGGUUCAAACCCUAGCAUUUCCU